UACGGAGGUCCCGAGCGUUGUCCGGAUUUAUUGGGCGUAAAGCGAGCGCAGGUGGUUUAUUAAGUCUGGUGUAAAAGGCAGUGGCUCAACCAUUGUAUGCAUUGGAAACUGGUAGACUUGAGUGCAGGAGAGGAGAAUGGAAUUCCUAGUGUAGCGGUGGAAUGCGUAGAGAUUAGGAAGAACACCAGUGGCGAAGGCGAUUCUCUGGACUGUAACUGACGCUGAGGCUCGAAAGCGUGGGGAGCAAACAGG
rnacentral:rRNA from 1 species